GUCCCCAUCGUCUAGAGGCCUAGGACACCGCCCUUUCACGGCGGUAACCGGGGUUCGAACCCCCGUGGGGACGCCA
rnacentral:tRNA from 2 species